UACGUAGGGAGCAAGCGUUGUUCGGAUUUACUGGGCGUAAAGGGCGCGUAGGCGGCGUGUUAAGUCAGCUGUGAAAUCUCCAAGCUCAACUUGGAACGGCCAGCUGAUACUGAUGUGCUAGAGUGCAGAAGGGGCAAUCGGAAUUCUUGGUGUAGCGGUGAAAUGCGUAGAUAUCUGGAGGAAUACCGGUGGCGAAGGCGGCAUCCUGGACCGAGAUUGACACUGAUGAGCGAAAGCUAGGGGAGCAAACGGG
rnacentral:rRNA from 1 species